rnacentral:rRNA from 1 species
AUUGAACGCUGGCGGCAUGCCUUACACAUGCAAGUCGAACGGUAACAGGUCUUCGGAUGCUGACGAGUGGCGAACGGGUGAGUAAUACAUCGGAACGUGCCUAGUAGUGGGGGAUAACUACUCGAAAGAGUGGCUAAUACCGCAUGAGAUCUACGGAUUAGAGCAGGGGAUCGCACGACCUUGUGCUACUAGAGCGGGCGAUGGCAGAUUAGGUAGUUGGUGGGAUAAAAGCUUACCAAGCCGACGAUCUGUAGCUGGUCUGAGAGGACGAUCAGCCACACUGGGACUGAGAAACGGCCCAGACUCCUACGGGAGGCAGCAGUGGGGAAUUUUGGACAAUGGGCGCAAGCCUGAUCCAGCAAUGCCGCGUGCAGGAUGAAGGCCUUCGGGUUGUAAACUGCUUUUGUACGGAACGAAAAGCCCCGGGUUAAUACCCUGGGGUCAUGACGGUACCGUAAGAAUAAGCACCGGCUAACUACGUGCCAGCCGCCGCCGUAA